UAUUGAUUUAUAGAGUUUUUACUGUAGUUAACCAUUAUUAUUUUGUAUACAAUAAUAUAAAAUUAGUUUUAUAGAGGGAAAUAUCGUUAUAUCCAAAAUAUAUAAAAAUAUAUAAACUAAAAAUUUGAAACACUUUUAAUAGAGAGAAAUUAGGUUUCAUAUACACCAAAAAAACAUAUUUAAGUAAAUACCCUAAAUACUAUUGACAUUUGUAAACCCCUAUACUGCCCCUGCCCCUGCCCCCUACCCAAACUUCUUCCUUCUUCUUCCUUCUCCUUCUCGAAUUUCUCUUAAAUCUCUCACCAAACUUAUUCAUUUUUUUUCAUCUUUCCUAAUUCUUUACUCUUCUUUAAAACUAUUUCAGUAUUUCUUACAAAUGGAUUCUUCUUCUUUUUUCCUAUUUUCACCAUUGUGGAUCCAAUAAAUAGUUUUUUCAUCGAUGAGUUCUUUUAGAAUAGCUUUUUUUUUGUCAGUUUCUUCAAUGUUUACCACAAUUUUGAAGGUUCCAAGUGAGUCAGUGCAUACCAGAGAGAUCUCUUCAGUUCAUGUGUUGGUAAAAUCACAUGCUCAACUAAGAGAUACUGGGGAAUUGAAGAGGGGGAUAUUAUCGUAUGAUUUGCAUCUUCAAACAUCAACAUUAUUAAUGUAAUGGUGAGAAGAUGAAUUGAGGAAGAGGAGAUUAUCGUAUGAUUGGUGUUGGAAUAUAGUAGGUGAUGAUUUGGAGAGUUAAAAAGAAGAUCAACUGAUUUGAAAAUAAGCUUUAAGAUUUAUAAAGGUUGAGAAAAUUUGGAGAGAAAGAUAAAUGAGAGAGAAGUGCGUUCGAAAAAGAAAAAGAAACAAGAAGAAAUUUUAGGGCAGGGGUAAAAUGGGAAAGGGGGACACAUAUGUCUACAGUAGCAAGGGGUUUUUCAUGGUUUUGGGUAGUUUCUUAAUUUCUUGUGGAUUUGGGUAUAUUAAGCCUAUUGUCUCUUUAAUAGAUUAGAUAAUAUCAUGAUAAAAUUGAAAAUGUAUAUCCUAACUUUUCUCUUGUUUAUCUUCGUGUCCACAAAUUAAACUCUAUGGCUUCGAA